UAUUAUUUAUUUUAAAA
rnacentral:misc_RNA from 1 species